rnacentral:misc_RNA from 1 species
AAGUUUCAAUUUUAAAAGAACCUUGCCUUCGAAGGUCGGUUAAGAUAUAGUGUCUACAACAGGCAGUGUGAUCCUGUUAUCAUUUAGAAUUCCUAUGACCAGUUUCUCUACUGCUGAAUGCAUCACCAAACACCAGGAUUUUAAAUAUCACCUAUUACUGGAAUUUGUAAGGGGGCAAAACAAUAUUUACUAAUCAAUGACUGUGACCUUCAGAGCAUACUGUUUAUCAAAGUGACCUUAUUGGCUGUAACAGACAUUGCUGGCCAUUUCGCAUGUGUAACUGCAAUAAAACUGUUGACUAUGUUUUUUAUUUUACUGUUCUUCCUUUUCUUAGCAACCAGCUACUGAAACCACACCACCAGCUCCUCCUGCCUUUUUUUAUUUCUAAACUUGAACAAGUUAACUUGAUGCCAAAAAACUUGAUGCUAGGCCUCACUUUUCAUUUACAAGGAUAACACAAAAACCGUUUGACAAAAUAAGGUUUAGGUGUUAAUUGUAUUGAUAUACUGUAUACUAAUUUUUUUAGGGUAGAAUAUAUACUCUAUAUUAAUUAAGUUAUUGGUUUAAUGUUGAUUUUGAGUAAUUUUGAUAAUAUUGUAAAAAUACAUAAUGUAGCGGUAGCUGAUUCAGGCUGAUUCUGCAACUGUCUGACUGCAACCUAUUCUAGGGCUGAGCAGAAUUCGGUU